rnacentral:rRNA from 1 species
UACGUAGGGGGCAAGCGUUGUCCGGAUUUAUUGGGCGUAAAGAGCGUGUAGGCGGCUUUACAGGUCCGUUGUGAAAACUCGAGGCUCAACCUCGAGACGCCGGUGGAAACCGUAAGGCUAGAGUCCGGAAGAGGAGAGUGGAAUUCCUGGUGUAGCGGUGAAAUGCGCAGAUAUCAGGAGGAACACCUAUGGCGAAGGCAGCUCGCUGGGACGGUACUGACGCUGAGACGCGAAAGCGUGGGGAGCGAACAGG